UGUCGGUUCAGUCGAUACGCUGCAUGGACGAGAAGCCCAGGCUGCAUGCGAACUAGUCGAGCUGCAUUCCCGGAUUUCCACCAGCUUCGUGAACUGGUACCUGAAUACCAAAUUGAAAGUAGAUGUGUAAAUACAAUUCUUUUUCCCUUAUGGAUCCCCUUUGCCACCUUCAUGGAGUGGAUACUGGCGAGAAAUGGAUCUCCGUUCAUCUCACCGGAUCCACUCCAGAUUCAGUGCCCAGCUAACCAUCUCCCUGCGGUGUGGAGCAUCAGCUCGAGCCCACUGAUGACAAAGAGCCAAUUCCAGCUGUGAUCGACGAGCCAGCACAAAGCUGAGUGACUGAGCGGAGGAUCGUCCUGGACGUGGAGCUCAACCCGUCAGACCAGUUUCCCUUAUGGAUCCCCUUUGCCACCUUCAUGGAGUGGAUACUGGCGAGAAAUGGAUCUCCGUUCAUCUCACCGGAUCCACUCCAGAUUCAGUGCCCAGCUAACCAUCUCCCUGCGGUGCGGAGCAUCAGCUCGAGCCCACUGAUGACAAAGAGCCAAUUCCAGCUGUGAUCGACGAGCCAGCACAAAGCUGAGUGACUGAGCGGAGGAUCGUCCUGGACGUGGAGCUCAACCCGUCAGACCAGGUGCGAGAGCUGGCGACCACGUCCAACGUGAGGGAGCAAGCCGUAGACGGUGAGUGUGCAAAGUGGAGCUCCACCCACUGCACCGUCUACAGCUUGCUCCCUGAGGAUGGGCUGAUUAUACACCUGGGACUGCUGGACUUAGAAGGGGACUUAAUAGAAUGGGAAACUGAGCUGGAAGUCGACUUGCCCCCUCUCCUUUCUCCUUGGUCCCCGCUGGUACUGUCCAUCCUUAAGGGGGCUCCUGUUUCCCAGUCCAACCAGGAGUGGGCUCUGAUCCCGAGGGCAGCCCUGAGAGCCCGGAGGCUCACGAAUGCCCGCCCACCCGCCCGCUCUUGCCUCCUCUACAGUCUGUCAUCUGCCAGCCCCUCUGCUUGCCCUCAGCCCACCAUCAAUACCAUGCGAGUGCCGCAGGUCUGCCAUCCUCCAUCGUCGCUGUGGCUGGAGCAUCCCUCUCCUCUGCCCUCCAGCCUCCGAGACCCGGACUCCACCUCGGACAAUAGACCCAGUGGCUCCAUCUUGGCUCCCAGCUCCCUCGCCUCCACCAUCACCCGUCAAACCCCUUAUCCACCGGGUUCCCUCGUCCCUCCGGCUCCAUCUCGGUCUGGUGUCGACCAUUCUGCACCUCUGGACUCCGUCAGGACGAUUCUGCGUCCCACCAGCUCCGUCAGGCUCCAUCAUCCCUUCAGCUCCUCCCCAGUUGUUCCGGCUCCACCGCAGAUCUCCGUCCGGAUCUCCACCUCCGCCUUGGUCGCCAGAGCCCUCAGCUCCACCCUGGCCCCCCGGAUCCUUGUCAUUCCCCUGGAUCGUUGGCUCUCUCGGUCUCCGUUUCCACUCCUUCACCACCUGCUCUGCCGCCAUUGGUCAGCCCCCUGCAUUCGGCAGCCAUUCCUCCUCCCUGGCUCCUCCCUCCAUUGUCUCCUCCCUGGACUCUGUCUGCUGGCCACCCUCCGGGGUGUCCGUCCUCCUCCGGAGCUGCCUCCUUAGUCCCCACUUAUUUCGAUAUGUCAGGAUUAUGGACCUGUUUUGUUGUGUUUUGCCCCUGUCUUUGUUCCUGGUUUUCCUUAAAUGGUCUGUUUCCUGUCCUCAUUUAGUUUAAUUAUGAUUUCUGGCACCUGUGUUAUUACACCUGUUAAUUAUCCCCAGUAUUUCAGUCCUUGCUUUUGCGUUCUGUGUUUGUCUGUUCUACUUGUUAUGUUUGAGUGUUUACUGCCAUCUCCUGUGUGGAUGUACCCUGUGUUUUGUGGAUUAAAGACUAUUUUCGUUUA
ensembl:lncRNA